GUGACCAGCCUAUGGUUUCAGCUGGUGGAAGCCCCCAGCAAUUAGGACAGAAGACAAAGAGUCGGACGUGGUGCUAAAAGAGCUUUUAUCAGGCUGUAUCACACAAAUUACAAACCAAAAUAACGUAGCAAUCACUAGUAUCGCUAGCAGAACAAUUUCAAACAUUCUAACAUCAUGAGCUAAGGGAUGUACGACCUGUCUCCGCUCUCAGGCUCGGGCUCCGACGACUUGGGCGUCCCCUCCGGUUUCACUUCCGGGUUGGCUCUCAUCCCACAGCGAGAUGGCUGAAGAACCUUCACCUAUGCUGAGCCUGUCAGGAGAAUAGCUGCAUGCCCUAUGGAGUUUCGAGAGAGAUGGGACUAAGGGUGAAUAAGAAGACAGUGAGAGGCGGGUGACACUUGAAAGGUCUGACAGUCUGCGGCUGAUUGCUGAUAGUGUUAGAAUAGACUUAUUAUCAGCUUCUAUGCACCUUAUCAGAAUGAACGUGCCUCUUUGAAAAUUAAAGUAUAUGAAAAAGGACA